rnacentral:rRNA from 1 species
CCUACGGGAUGCACCAGUGGGGAAUAUUGCACAAUGGGCGCAAGCCUGAUGCAGCCAUGCCGCGUGUAUGAAGAAGGCCUUCGGGUUGUAAAGUACUUUCAGCGAGGAGGAAGGCGUUAAGGUUAAUAACCUUAGCGAUUGACGUUACUCGCAGAAGAAGCACCGGCUAACUCCGUGCCAGCAGCCGCGGUAAUACGGAGGGUGCAAGCGUUGAUCGGAAUUACUGGGCGUAAAGCGCACGCAGGCGGUCUGUCAAGUCGGAUGUGAAAUCCCCGGGCUUAACCUGGGAAUGGCAUCUAAGACUGGUCAGCUAGAGUCUUGUAGAGGGGGGUAGAAUUCCAUGCGUAGCGGUGAAAUGCGUAGAGAUGUGGAGGAAUACCGGUGGCGAAGGCGGCCCCCUGGACAAAGACUGACGCUCAGGUGCGAAAGCGUGGGGAGCAAACAGGAUUAGAUACCCCUGUAGUC